rnacentral:rRNA from 1 species
UACGUAGGGGGCAAGCGUUGUCCGGAUUUAUUGGGCGUAAAGAGCGUGUAGGCGCCAGACAGGUCCGUUGUGAAAACUCGAGGCUCAACCUCGAGAUGUCGAUGGAAACCGUCUGGCUAGAGUCCGGCAGAGGGGGGUGGAAUUCCACGUGUAGCAGGUGAAAUGCGUAGAUAUGUGGAGGAACACCGAUGGCGAAGGCAGCCCCCUGGGUUAACGACUGACGCUCAUGCACGAA